rnacentral:lncRNA from 1 species
CUUCAGUCUGUGGAUGUCUUUUCCUAUGAGAUGAGUCUUCAAGGCAGCAUAUUGUUAGGUCUUUUUAAAAAAUACAAUCUGCCAGUCUUAAUUGAUGAGUUUAGGACAUUAACAUUCAGGGUUAUUAUUGAAAAUAUGGUUUGUAAUUCCAGUCAUUUUGGUUUAUUUUUGGUUUUUAACUUGACUUGGUUUCUCUUUUGUUUGGCUUUUCCUUUAGUAUACUUCCUCC